ACUGUCACAAAGGAUCAUAGGCUAAAGGAGGCUCUGCAUCUUGUAGUUGCACUAUCUGAAACAUGAGGCUUCUUUGACAGAGGUUGAGAGUUGAAGGUUCCCAGAUGGACUUGGAAAUGCUUUGAUUUAGAAGCAGCCCCUGGCCACUCCCACUCCUUCCUUUGUGGUGUGCCGCCCCCGCUGCCUAGCUCUGACCGACUGAGGACAUUCUUAAUGUAAUUGAAUGUUCUUAACGUAAAUAUUUACAGGAAAACUCCUCAAGGUCUUGAAAUAUAUGGCCUAUAAAAUCAUUCUCUUUGGGAAAGAAUUGCAGACAAGUCAUCAUCCUUUGAGGAUAAGUUCGAUUAAAAGGGUUACUGAAUUUCUUCUGUGGUGUAUUUCAUAAAAGAGAAGAUGCUGAUAAGAUCCCGUUUAAAUGGCUUGCUAAUACCAGAAGCAGAUCAUUUAAAAUGGACCUUACAUCUUUAUAGGAUGUUAGAAAUGAAGACAUUACCUCAAAAUGUCCAUUUAUGAACUAUAAGAAGGAUUCAGUAUGUGUCAUCAUUUUCAUAAAAGGAAGGAAAUCAGCAAAGUAGCCCAACUCUCUGGGGAAGAUGCAAUGUCAACAAUUAGGAAGAAUGUAAUUUAUCUUGUGCCAAAGAGGUCCAACAGUGAAUCCCAAUCAGACAAAUACCACUAAAAUGAUGACAAACACAAAAAAAUCAUCAACCUGUAAGGCAAAAGAGGAUGGGUGGAACUGAGGAGGACAGAUAAUAAAUAGCAGGGGGAAGUAUAAUGGCAGUCUCCUACUACCACAAAUCAUGCAGUCAAAUUUCCCAUGUUUGGGGGAAAUCACAGGGGUCAAGACAUUCAGAGUGCAGUGGAUGAGCCUUACCUUGGGAAAACCACUUUUGUGAUCAUGAUAACUCCCCUGCCAUAUUAGGAGCCCACUGAAAGCAGAAGCUGUACCUUGGUCAUCUCGAUUUCUCCAGUGCCCAGAAGAGCGACAAACAAACAUCAUCAGUGACACUUGCCGAAUUAUCAUCUCGGCACAACUGUAGCCUACUGACCAGGAAACUGAUGGCGUUGCUGCUUCCAAGUACAAGGGUUCUCAUCUCUCUACUAGCUUCGUCAAGGAGAUCUUAUACCCAAGCAUAAGAAAGGCCCAGAGCUGAAAGAGACUGGAGAAAAAUCAUCCAUACAAGAAAACACAACCUUCUCCCUGGCCAUCAAUUGUCCAGAUAACACUACUGCACAGGAUGCUGCAGAGCUUUACAAAACUAUCCCUGCAGAUAGAUGCUGAAAGAGACACUCUGGAAGUUUCAUCUCUUGGACCUUGGUUUGCCCAUGAAGAAAGACAGUCCUCCUUCCUUGAGGAAGCCCAAGUAAAUGCUCUUCCAAGGAAACACUGCUACAGGUUUGGUCCCAGAAUCAUGCUGCUCUCACAAAAUGACUUUAAAGUUACAAAGAUUAAAAUUUAAAAAUUUUUUCACUAUGAUUUUGGAUUGGUCUGCUUCUCCUUGUUCUGAGAAAAAAGACUGAUCUCCCCAGAAGAAGAGAAACUUCUGCCAGCCAACUUGGACGUGAACUGCAGCUCUUUCCUGGAUCUCCAGACUGCCAGCCUACCCUGCAGAUUUUGGACUUGCCAAGACUCCACAAUCAUUUUCUAGAUGUACCUUUCCGAAGUUAUAAAGUCAAUUUGAUUUUUCCUGAAUAAUCAUGUCACACCCUGAGGUGAUGAAAGAGGAUUCUAGGCCCCAGCUGCUUUCCUGUAUUCAAAACUGGUUGAAAGCAUGAAGGUUUAUUCUUCUCGCUGUUGAUAUAAAAGGUAACCACACAAAAUCAUAAACUGCCUUUACCUACAUCACUGUUUUCAAUUUGACAAUUGAAGUUGACCUCAGAGUACUGCCCUCCAAGAAACCCUUGGCUGGCUGCAAGACAGACACUAGAACCCUCUGCAGCCUUUAUCUUGGACUUUUGAGAUUGGAAACUGCCACAUUAUGUGAACUAUGGUAAAGUUAUAUUCCAACCAGUUUUAUUCACCAGGGAUCAAGCUGAGACCAAGUGAGUAGCUUGCUAUGCCUCUGAAAUGAAUAUCCAUCUUGACAAGAGUUGUCUAUCUUUUUCUCUUAUUUUAAUUGAUGAACACUUAUUGGAUCUCUAGAGAAUUACAAGUGACUGAGUAUAGUUCAUAAAGAAUGCAGGAUUGGUCCACUAUAUUUUAGCCCUUUAGCUUUGUUUUUCCCCAUGGCUUCUAAAAUAGGAGUUGAACAGUUAAAACCGUCCAGUUCUCUCAAUGAGUAGUUUUUCACGUAUAGCACCAUACUGAUUUUGUUCUUAUAUGAACCAAUGACCUAAUCAUUGCUUAAAUUUAUUUGUUAAACACAUCAUAAAAUUAGAAUGAUUUCAUUUCUUAAUCCACACUGGGCUGUGGUAGGGGGAAGGCAGUAUUUCUCCUGGUAUACUGAGUCACCUUUGUAAAUCUCAAUCCUAUAGCUGAAUUUUGAAGUGACAUUUACCAAGUCUUGCAGUUUUGUAAUAGCAAUGACAAAUAUUUUAUUUGGAAGAAAAAUGUUUUUUUGAAAUGUUGUUUUUUAUUAGUACUUUUACAUGUGUCAAAGUGUCCUAGUUAUUUGGUGACCUGUGGCCAGGCACUCAUUAUUUCAUCUUCUUUUUUAGAAGAGAGAAGGCCCCCAUCAGCCAAGGGCAAUUCUCUGGUGAAAGGGUCAGCUGUGAGCUGUUAGCAGACAACACUUAUAGUGCCUGAUAGAUGGAUGCAACUGCCUGGUAAAGGGAAUCUGUGUGGAAUAUCCCAGAGCUUGCAGUAAUCAGAAAGAGAUAUAAAAAUAUUUCUAAAAUUAUGAAAUGUCAUAGGAAGUAGUUCUCAAAAAAAAAAAAAAAAAAAACAAAACUAAAU